rnacentral:rRNA from 1 species
AAUAUUGGACAAUGGGCGAAAGCCUGACCCAGCCAUGCCGCGUGGGUGGAGAAGCUCUUCGGUUUGUAAAGCACUUUAAGUUGGGAGGAAGGGUCUGAAGCUAAUACCUUCAAUCUUUGACGUUACCAACAGAAUAAGCGCCUGCUAACUUGGUGCCAGCAGCCGCCGGAAUACAGAGGGUGCAAGCGUUAAUCGGAAUUACUGGGCGUAAAGCGCGCGUAGGUGGUUCAGUAAGAUGGAAGUGAAAUCCCCGGGCUUAACCUGGGAACUGCUUUCAUAACUGCUGAGCUAGAGUACGGUAGAGGGUAGUGGAAUUUCCUGUGUAGCGGUAAAAUGCGUAGAUAUAGGAAGGAACACCAGUGGCGAAGGCGACUACCUGGACUGAUACUGACACUGAGGUGCGAAAGCGUGGGGAGCAAACAGG